GAUGAACGCUGGCGGCGUGCCUAAUACUUGCAAGUCGAGCGAACAGACGAGGAGCUUGCUCCUUUGACGUUAGCGGCGGACGGGUGAGUAACACGUGGAUAACCUACCUAUAAGACUGGGAUAACUUCGGGAAACCGGAGCUAAUACCGGAUAACAUGUUGAACCGCAUGGUUCAACAGUGAAAGACGGUCUUGCUGUCACUUAUAGAUGGAUCCGCGCCGCAUUAGCUAGUUGGUAAGGUAACGGCUUACCAAGGCAACGAUGCGUAGCCGACCUGAGAGGGUGAUCGGCCACACUGGAACUGAGACACGGUCCAGACUCCUACGGGAGGCAGCAGUAGGGAAUCUUCCGCAAUGGGCGAAAGCCUGACGGAGCAACGCCGCGUGAGUGAAGAAGGUCUUCGGAUCGUAAAACUCUGUUAUUAGGGAAGAACAAAUGUGUAAGUAACUAUGCACGUCUUGACGGUACCUAAUCAGAAAGCCACGGCUAACUACGUG
rnacentral:rRNA from 1 species